AACCUAGCACACCUGCGGUGUGUACCUGCGGAGGGAUCAUUAUAGAGUUUUCUAAACUCCCAACCCAUGUGAACUUACCUUUUGUUGCCUCGGCAGAAGUUAUAGGUCUUCUUAUAGCUGCUGCCGGUGGACCAUUAAACUCUUGUUAUUUUAUGUAAUCUGAGCGUCUUAUUUUAAUAAGUCAAAACUUUCAACAAUGGAUCU
rnacentral:misc_RNA from 1 species